rnacentral:rRNA from 1 species
UUUUGUAAAAAAUAAUAUUUAUAAAGUGAUAAAUUAUAUUACCUUUUGUAUCAUGGUGAUAUAAAGAAAGAAAUAGGCUGAACCCGGCAUUUUUAGAGAGAAGUUAUAAUUGUUUUGUCGUAUCAAAGAUUAUUAAUUUUAACAUAGUAACGAAAGAUUAGGCGGUAAGGAUGUUAUCUGGAUUUUAUUUAAAAAGAUGUUUAAAAGAGUUAAAUAUUUUUCUCCAAAAAUUUGUAUUAUUGUAGAAACAUUUUGGGCUUUAAAAUGGCUAAAAUUAGAGUGUGUUAUUAUUUAAAUUAAUGGAAUAGAAUUGUUGUUUAUUUGUAAUGAAAAAUUAUUAGUUUUAAAAAAAUUAGUAUUAUGUAUCAAUAAGUAGAAUUAUAAGAUUAUAGAGAGAACUCAAAUAUAUUACUAAAUGUUUAACAAAAACAUUGUUUUAUUAAUAUAAGAUAGGGCCUGCCCACUGAAAAUUUAAUGGCUGCGGUAUAUUAACUGUGCUAAGGUAGCAUAAUAAUUUGUCUUUUAAUUGAGGGCUUGUAUGAAAGGUUUUAUAGUAAUAUGCUUUUUGUAUAGUUUACUUGAAUUUAGAGUCUGGGUAAAAAUACCUAGAUUUUUAAAAAAGACGAUAAGACCCUAAAAGCUUUAUUUUUUGUUUUUAUUUAAAAAUUUUAUAUAAUUUUUUAUAAAUUAAAAGAUUUUUGGCUGGGGUAGCAAUUUUAUUUUGAUCAAACAAAAUACAACUUUUGAGGGAGAGUGAACCUUAAUAUUAUGGUAAUUGUCUGAGUUACUUUAGGGAUAACAGCACAAUAAUUUUGGAGAGACCUUAUCAAUAAAAGAGUUUGUGACCUCGAUGUUGAAUUAAAAUGUCCAAUUAAAGCAGUAUUUAAAUUGGGAAGGUUUGUUCAACCUUUAAACGAUUACAUGAUUUGAGUUCAAACCGGUUUAAGCCAGGUUGGUUUCUAUCUUUUUAUAUAAAAAUUAUUUUUGUAGUACGAGAGGACCUAAGAAUAUUUUA